rnacentral:lncRNA from 1 species
GAAUGAGUGGGGUCCAGCUCUAGCCCCUGUGGCCAGCCUCAGAAGUGACCAUCGUCCAGAUGCAGCCUGUGGCCAACAGCUCUCCGUGGAGGAGCUGUGACUACUGAGGCCCCCAACCUCAUAGCUGUUCAGUAGGGGGCUGCUGAGGAGGUGCUCAAAGCCCCAGAUCCCAGGGAGGCGGGGGAUGGUGGGGACAGCACAGGUGUGGUCCAGGAUGUCCUCUUUGAGAUACCACAGAUGGAUGAAGGCUUGCAGAGCAUGUGCUGCUGAGUGAGGCUGAUGGGGAGCAGACCUGGUUCUGUGUGCAAGAGGUAGAAAGCCUUCCCCCAGAGCUGUCCGUGCUACCUGCCCCUGGCCCACCCGGACAGAAACUCCUCAUCAUCCGCAGCACCCCAGCUACUGAGCUGCUGGAGGAUAGCAGCACUGGGGCGGCCCCACCAUGCUGCAGCCCCUGGCCCCACUGCCACCUGGCCUAGCCUCUGCCUGCACAGGGCUCCUCAUUCGACCUGGAUGGAGGGCAGACCCUGAUGCAGGGACUGCCCUCCAUUCAGAUUGUCUAGACUCUAUCUGAAGUCCAGCUGGUGCA